rnacentral:rRNA from 1 species
GACGAACGCUGGCGGCGUGCUUAACACAUGCAAGUCGAACGGAAAGGCCCUGUUGGCAGGGUACUCGAGUGGCGAACGGGUGAGUAACACGUGGGUGUUCCGCCCUGCACUUCGGGAUAAGCCUGGGAAAUUGGGUCUAAUACCGGCUAGGAGCCAUUUUAAGCGGGAUGGUUGGAAAGUUUUUUCGGUGUAGGAUGAGUGCGGGGCCUAUCAGCUUGUUGGUGGGGUAAUGGCCUAACAAGGCGGCGACGGGUAGCCGGCAUGAGAGGGUGGACGGACACAAUGGGACUGAGGUAGGGCCCAGUGGCCAACGGUGGGCAGCAGUGGGAAGUAUUGCACAAUGGGCGCACGCGUGGUGCAGCGGCGCCGCGUGGGUGAUGACGGCCUGCAGGUUGUAAACACGUUUCGCUAGGUACGAAGCUUAUGUGACGGUACCUAAAUAAGAAGCACCGGCUAACUACGUG